AACAGGAUUAGAUACCCUGGUAGUCCACGCCCUAAACGAUGUCAACUAGUUGUCGGGUCUUAAUUGACUUGGUAACGCAGCUAACGCGUGAAGUUGACCGCCUGGGGAGUACGGUCGCAAGAUUAAAACUCAAAGGAAUUGACGGGGACCCGCACAAGCGGUGGAUGAUGUGGAUUAAUUCGAUGCAACGCGAAAAACCUUACCUACCCUUGACAUGGCAGGAAUCCUUGAGAGAUCAGGGAGUGCUCGAAAGAGAACCUGCACGCAGGUGCUGCAUGGCUGUCGUCAGCUCGUGUCGUGAGAUGUUGGGUUAAGUCCCGCAAGGAGCGCAACCCUUGUCAUUAGUUGCUACGAAAGGGCACUCUAAUGAGACUGCCGGUGACAAACCGGAGGAAGGUGGGGAUGACGUCAAGUCCUCAUGGCCCUUAUGGGUAGGGCUUCACACGUCAUACAAUGGUACAUACAGAGGGCCGCCAACCCGCGAGGGGGAGCUAAUCCCAGAAAGUGUAUCGUAGUCCGGAUUGCAGUCUGCAACUCGACUGCAUGAAGUUGGAAUCGCUAGUAAUCGCGGAUCAGCAUGUCGCGGUGAAUACGUUCCCGGGUCUUGUACACACCGCCCGUCACACCAUGGGAGCGGGUUUUACCAGAAGUAGGUAGCUUAACCGCAAGGAGGGCGCUUACCACGGUAGGAUUCGUGACUGGGGUGAAGUCGUAACAAGGUAACC
rnacentral:rRNA from 1 species